UCCCCGCCCUUCCUUUUCAGUUCUGCCCGAGUUUUUGACGUUUGAGUUUUUCAGUGGUUUGCUGGGGCCCCGUUCGGCCCUAAUAGGCGGUCCGGACUCGGACCGUAGGGGAGUGGGGACCCGGGCGGUUGGGUUGGUGGUCGGCGGCUGCGGCCGCGGUGGCAUUUUUUGGCCGAUUCGGCCUGUGGGGAGGCUGGGUCGGGGGUUGACGGCGGCAGCAGCGGCAGCAUUGUGGGUGUUGGGCCGAGUCUGCAGCCACGUGGGGCAGCAGUGGCGAUCUAGCCUUCGGUGGGGGGGCCGUCCGGCCGGUAUUUGGGCUGAUUGGCCUGGAGGGGCCCCCGGGUGGGGGGAUUGUUCUAGGCUGCUGGUUGCUUGGGCUGCGAGCCCACUAGGGGGUGCUAGGGACUCCCUGGGAGGCUGUUGCCGGGCUGACAGGCCCGGGUGAUUGACAGCUCUUACAGGCCCGGGUGAUUGACAGCUCUUAAGGCUUUUUCCCUCUGUCUCUGUUGGGCCUUCUGGGUAUGGCUGCCUGGGAGGAGUGUAGCCUAGCACUGUGGGGUGUGAUCAGUGGGAAUGCUGCUUGUUUUGGAUUAGUCGAUAUAUCUAAUUAAAAAUAAAUAGAUAGAUAUAAAAUAAUUAAGUAAAUACAUAAAUAUAUAAAUAAUUUAUUAAUUUAAUUAAAAAAAAACACCACCAAACCAGUAGAGACAGAAGGAGUAUUGAACAAUUUCGUACGUAAUAAAAUCAAAUAAGGGUAGAGUGGUCAUGCCUCCCAGGAAGGCAAAAGGGAAAGCCGGGGGGAAGCCGAUCAAGCCUCCUAAGCGUCCUGCACCCCAGUCUUCAUCGUCGGAUGAGGAUGAUGGGGAAAUGACCCUCAUUAAGGGGAUGAUACAGCGGCUGGAGGCUUUGGAGCGGGCCAAGGCGCUGCCAUCAGAUAUGGGGGCAGGGCCUUCUGGUAAGGGGGGCAGAACUCGGACGAGGGGGGCCGCAAGGACUCAGUUAAUUGAUUCUUUAUCUGUCAGACUGAAGGCCAUGGAGGAGAGGCUAAGCGGCCCGAGUGAUGUGCCAGUGGUAGUUUUGGAUGAGGCAGCAGUUCCGGGGGCGUUGCAGCAGGAGGAGUCUUCGGCGGUGGUGGAGAUGUCGGCUGUUGCUCAGCCGGGUGAGCCUGGAUCUGUUGCACCACACGGCGGUACCGGCCAGUGGUCGUGGUUUCCCUGGCCGAUGCCAGCCGCUGGGGGUUGGGGCCCUGCCCCCUGGGGGGUCACACAUACAUACCCAGGUGGGUUGGUGGGUCCUUUGCCAGGGGUGGGGCCGAGUACGCAAGGGGUGGCUGAGCAGGUGUGGCAAGGGGUCGUGCCUGCUUCCAGUGGACCUGGGUUGCCACCCAUGCAGGGUGCAGGUUGGUAUCCUAGGGGGGUUAUGCCUACACCUCAGCAUUCUCCGUAUGGGGCAGUGGGGUUGCCUUUGGGGGAUCACCUUUUCCUGGCCACUAAGGAGAAGAUUUUGAAAGGGGAAUACGUUGACAUAUUCUCCUUGUUAUUUAGGGAACCCGAGGUAAAGCAUAAGGAGGGUGAGUCGUGUAAAGACCACGCUGUGACGAAGCGUAAGCCAGUUGAGAAAUCCUGGAAUAACUGGCUUUCGGGUUUUACGAUUUAUAUGGGGGUGGUCAUUCUGGCACAGCCGGCCAGAGCCCUGGUGUUAGUUAAGUAUAUGGACAUUAUCCAUCGGGCUGUGUCGGACUUUGCUGGCAAUGCUUGGGUCCGAUAUGAUGAGAAUUUUAGGAUGCGAGCCGCUUUGGAUCCAUCCCUGCCAUGGGAUGCGCCUCAUUUGGAGCUGUGGGUUCUCAUCAUGUCGCCGACGCGGCCAGUGGACGGUGAGAGAUCGGACAGCGGGCAUCUGUUAUCCAAGGCAGCGGCACUGUCUUUUCCCGCUGUUGCGGGCCAGCCGUGGGUUCAACCCCAGUCGGUUUGCUGGGAGUAUAAUCGCAGUGGCCGCUGUGGAAGACAGGCCUGUAAGUUUAGACACGUGUGUAGCAUCUGUGGUGCCAAGCACCCGAGCUCUUCGUGCCCCAGGGCUCGUGGCUUCGAGGCAGGAUCUAAGCCAAGGUUCGAUGGGGGCAAGAAGGGGGGCCCUCCCGCACCCCCUUCGGGUAAAGGGGCCCAGCCCAGUUAGACUGGACGUUUUGGAGCAGCUGUUAAUAGGCUACCCUAAUCGGGAGGCUGCUGCCUUGUUGAGUUCAGGGUUUAAAGAAGGUUUUAGGAUUCCGACGUUAUCUCAUAGGGUGGCCUUUAUGGCCGAUAACCUUAAAUCGGUUAAAGGGAUGGAGGUGGUAGUGGCCAGGAAGAUAGGUAAGGAGGUGGCUGCCGGGAGGGUGGCUGGGCCUUUCGAUCUUCCCCCCUUUGACAAUUUGAGGGUUUCCCCGUUGGGAGUUGUCCCGAAGAAGGCUCCAGGCGAGUACCGCCUCAUACAUCACCUGUCCUUUUUGGGUAUCGAGUUGGAUACGGUGGUUGGGUGUUCGCGUCUCCUGUUGGAGAAGUUGGCGACGCUGUGGGGUCUUAUUGGGGCCAUGCAGGUGGCGCGGAAGGUUUCCCUUAAGGAGCUGCAGGUGGUGUUGGUCAUUUGAAUUUCGCCUGCAGGGUGGUGGUACCCGGGAGGGCAUUUUUGAGGCGCCUUUGCGACCUGAUGUCCGGUUUGCGGGCUCCUCACCAUAGGGUAAGGCUUACGGAGGGGGUUAAGGCAGACUUGGCAGUAUGGGGCACGUUUUUGGAGCAAUUUAAUGGUGUUUCAUUCUGGAGGGCAGAGCAGCUAGUUGAGGCAGAGCUGCAGGUCCAUUCAGACGCGGCUGGGGGAGCGGGGUUUGGCGUUUAUUUUCGUGGGCGCUGGUGUUAUGGGUGUUGGCCGGUUGGUUGGGAGAGGGCCGGUAUCACUAGGGACCUUACCUUUUUGGAACUAUUCCCCAUUGUGGUGGCAGUGCACCUUUGGGCUGGGGAGUUCUCUAACUCCACAGUUCAGUUUUGGUGCGACAAUCAGGCAGUAGUGCAGGUUGUCAAUUCACAGACGUCACGGUCCCCUCGGGUCAUGGGCUUGGUUAGAGCUUUUGUUUUGCAGUGUUUACGUGCCAACAUUUUAUUUGUGGCGCGACAUGUUCCAGGGCUUCAGAAUGACAUCGCUGAUGCCCUGUCUCGGUUUCAGUUGGACAGGUUUCGGGAACUGGUGCCGGAGGCUAUGCGGGACCCGGAGGUCAUGCCGGAAGCCCUGUGGAGGCUUGGCGCGUAGCUGCGCGGCAGGCCAUCGAUGCCUCCUUGGCGCCUAGUACCAGGGUUAGUUAUCGGGCGAAGGUAGGGGCAUUCUCUACGUUUAAGAGACAAGAGGGCCUUGUGGAAGCAUGGCCUGUGCCUGUGGAACAUGUUAUGCAGUUCCUGGUGUCUCUUUUUAGGGCAGGUAAGGCGGUCUCGACCAUGGGAGGCUACGUCUCCGCUUUGGCCUUCGAGGCUCAAGUGCAGGGGGUGCAGGACACUACAGGUGAUCCUAGGGUUAAACGCAUGCUGGAGGGGUGGGCGCGGCAGCAGCCCAGGGGCCCGGAUAAAAGGAGGCUACUAACCUUGGACAUGGUGGCUGCACUGAUUCGCCAUUUACCUGUCUGUUGCUCUUCCCCUUGGGAAGCUACAUUAAUGAAGGCUGCCUCCUUGGUUUACUUUUUUGGGGCUUUUAGACCCAGUGAAGUUUUGCCACGGGGUAGGCAUUCACCUGUGGGGCGUUGCCUGCAGUUUGGGGAUUUGUCGUUUGAGGGUAGGGGAGUCACGUUGCUACUCCGUAGCUCCAAGACUGAUCAGAAGGGGAAGGGGCAGGUGAUUAGGCUCCAUGCUGCCUCGGACCCGGGAAUGUGUCCAGUGAUGGCCUUACGGCAGUGUGUAGCAGGUGGUCCCAAGGCAUCUGGGUGUUUAUUUGUCCAUGAGAGGGGGGAUCCUUUAACCCAGUAUCAGCUAUGGGCUGUUCUGAGGAAGGCUAUGGCCUGUGCUGGUGUGUCAGACUUGGGGUUUAGCCUGCACUCCUUUAGAAUUGGGGCAGCUACUACAGCCAGUGGCCUGGGUUUGGAGGCGAGGGAUGUGCAGAGGAUUGGACGGUGGAAGUCUGAUGCUUUUUUACGCUAUGUGCACUAAAGCGGCACAGUUGCGGCUGUUUGUUACCUGUUUGUUCUUUUAACAGGUGCUGGCGGGGCAGCGGCUCCGGUGAGAGGUGCUGGCGGGGCAGCGGCUCCUGUGAGAGUACUCCUGUGUGGCCAUUCCUUGGUGUUUUGGGCAUACAAGAGGGCCAGCGCCUCACGUUUUGGGACCCAACUCGGUCUGGGACAGCAGUCCAGAGUGUCUUGGUUGGGUCAGAGGACAAUGCACGGUCUCUGAGCUGACAAGAAUAAUAGCUAACCUUACUAAAGUAAGUAUAUACAUGUUGUUGCUGCUGCCAUUAUUUGUAUUUUUAAAAAUGAUUUGAAUGUAUAGCAUGGUCAUAGUUACAAAUUUGCUGCAAUAUUGUUCUUUUAGAAAAAUGAUCUUGCAAGCUGUAUGGCCAGAGAAUUUGAAAAUACAACUUUUCCUACCACAUGGCUGUAAAUGGUCAUGCCUUCAGGAAGGAUUUGAAAAUAUUAGAAAGAAUUGCAAGAAACCGUGCUCCAAGUGCGGUCAAGAACUUGAAAAGGUUAUUGAAAGGC